GGGUUGUGAGGUUAAGCGACUAAGCGUACACGGUGGAUGCCCUGGCAGUCAGAGGCGAUGAAGGACGUGCUAAUCUGCGAUAAGCGUCGGUGAGGUGAUAUGAACCGUUAUAACCGGCGAUUUCCGAAUGGGGAAACCCAGUGUGUUUCGACACACUAUCAUUAACUGAAUCCAUAGGUUAAUGAGGCGAACCGGGGGAACUGAAACAUCUAAGUACCCCGAGGAAAAGAAAUCAACCGAGAUUCCCCCAGUAGCGGCGAGCGAACGGGGAGCAGCCCAGAGCCUGAAUCAGUGUGUGUGUUAGUGGAAGCGUCUGGAAAGGCGCGCGAUACAGGGUGACAGCCCCGUACACAAAAAUGCACAUACUGUGAGCUCGAUGAGUAGGGCGGGACACGUGGUA
rnacentral:rRNA from 1 species